rnacentral:rRNA from 1 species
GACGAACGCUGGCGGCGUGCUUAACACAUGCAAGUCGAGCGGAGCGGCGAACGGGUGAGUAACUCGUUAGUAACUGCCCCCCUCCCUGGGGUAAGAGUUGGAAACGGCUGCCAAUACCUGAUAGUGGGGGAUGACUCGGGUCCUAUCAGCUUGUUGGUGGGGUAGGGGCCUACCAAGGCGACGAUGGGUAGCCGGCCUGGGAGGGCGACCGGCCACAUUGGUCUGAGAUACGGCCCAAACGCCUACGGGAGGCAGCAGUGGGGAAUAUUGCACAAUGGGGGAAACCCUGAUGCAGCAACGCGCGUGCGGGAUGACGGCCUUCGGGGUGUAAACCGCUUUCAGCCAUGACGCGGUAGUGGCAGAAGAAGCACCGGCUAACUACGUGCCAGCAGCCGCGGUAAUUC